rnacentral:rRNA from 1 species
UAAAUCAGUUAUCGUUUAUUUGAUAAUACCUUACUACUUGGAUAACCGUGGUAAUUCUAGAGCUAAUACAUGCUGAAAAUCCCGACUUCGGAAGGGAUGUGUUUAUUAGAUAAAAAACCAAUGCCCUUCGGGGCUCCUUGGUGAUUCAUAAUAACUUUACGGAUCGCAUAGCCUUGCGCUGGCGACGGUUCAUUCAAAUUUCUGCCCUAUCAACUUUCGAUGGUAAGGUAUUGGCUUACCAUGGUUUCAACGGGUAACGGGGAAUUAGGGUUCGAUUCCGGAGAGGGAGCCUGAGAAACGGCUACCACAUCCAAGGAAGGCAGCAGGCGCGCAAAUUACCCAAUCCCGAUUCGGGGAGGUAGUGACAAUAAAUACUGAUACAGGGCUCUUUUGGGUCUUGUAAUUGGAAUGAGUACAAUUUAAACCUCUUAACGAGGAACAAUUGGAGGGCAAGUCUGGUGCCAGCAGCCGCGGUAAUUCCAGCUCCAAUAGCGUAUAUUAAAGUUGUUGCAGUUAAAAAGCUCGUAGUUGAAACUUGGGUCUGGCUGGCGGGUCCGCCUCACCGCGUGCACUCGUCCGGCCGGGCCUUCCUUCUGAAGAACCUCAUGCCCUUUACUGGGCGUGUUGGGGAAUCAGGACUUUUACUUUGAAAAAAUUAGAGUGUUCAAAGCAGGCCUUUGCUCGAAUACGUUAGCAUGGAAUAAUAAAAUAGGGCGUGCGUUUCUAUUUUGUUGGUUUCUAGAGACGCCGCAAUGAUUAACAGGAACAGUCGGGGGCAUCAGUAUUCAGUUGUCAGAGGUGAAAUUCUUGGAUUUACUGAAGACUAACUACUGCGAAAGCAUUUGCCAAGGAUGUUUUCAUUAAUCAGUGAACGAAAGUUAGGGGAUCGAAGACGAUCAGAUACCG